rnacentral:rRNA from 1 species
GAGACUCUGUGCGCGUGCAUAUCAAUAAGCGGAGGAAAAGAAACUAACUAGGACUCCCUCAGUAACGGCGAGUGAAGCGGGAAGAGCUCCAAAUUUGAAAUCUUCAAGGUUCUGACCUUGACGAAUUGUAGUUUAUAGAAGUGUUUUCUGUUAGUAGAGUGGCAAAAGUUCUUUGGAAUAGGACAUCAUAGAGGGUGAGAAUCCCGUAUUUGGUCAUUCUUUCUAGCUUUGUGAUACACUUUCAACGAGUCGGAUUGUUUGGGAAUGCAGUCCAAAAUGGGUGGUAAAUUUCAUCUAAAGCUAAAUAUUGGCGAGAGACCGAUAGCGAACAAGUACCGUGAGGGAAAGAUGAAAAGAACUUUGAAAAGAGAGUUAAACAGUACGUGAAAUUGUCAAAAGGGAAGCGUUUGACACCAGUGUUGUUUUUCUCGAAAAUCAAUUACGAAUGUUUUAGUUUUUAAGAAGUUAUGACUUCAUCGGCUUGCUUCUCUCUUUAUGAAACUUUCUUAAUGCACUUUUCGGUUAACAAGUCAACAUCAAUUUCUUUAGUUGUAAAAGGGUAUGAGGAAGGUGGCUUUCUUUUCGGAGAAAGUGUUUAUAGCCUUGUGCCUCUGCAAUCGGAGAGAUUGAGGUCUGCAGCGUAGAUCCUUCGGGGUUAGAUACGUUUGUGCUAAGUUAUAGCUUUUCAUAGACAACUUGUUGACUAUGUUUAGUCUUGUAGCUUACUCGCUGACGCUAUUUUACCUACGCUUAGGAUGUUGACGAUCAGCUGAGCGCG